rnacentral:misc_RNA from 1 species
GAUGAAGAACGUAGCGAACUGCGAAAAUUAAUGCGACCCGCAACACGUGAGUCAUCGAGUUUUUGAACGCAUAUUGCACCCGACAGAAACUGUCGGGUCUGCCUGGCUGAGUAUCAGUACGUGCCCGGUCGUUGUAUGCAAAUUUAUUAAUAGGUUUGUAUAUCCGACGUACCGGUGAUCGUUGAGCAGCAAUGCUGCUUGACGGAUGUGAGUGUCCGGUGGUCUUUUGUACCGCUGGUCAUUUGAAAUUCAUCGGUGCCGCGCAUCGUCUCUCGAGACGUUGUCGACUUGUUAGCGUUGUAAUCAUCCUCGGAUGUCUUCGCAUUAUAUACGGUCGGCGUCAAACUAUGCAGCGACACUUGUACGCAUACUAUAUAUAUAUACUCUCCCCUUGAUCUCAGAUCAGGCAGGAUGACCCGCUGAACUUAAGUAUAUCAAUAAGCGGAGGA